GUUGAUGUACACAUUAAACUGGAGCAAAUGCCCAAGUUGCCCCCCCCCCAAAUGACGCCACUGAUCGAAACGAGUCAUAAAUUAAAAAUUAAUUUCAUAACUUUUCUACGAUAACUGCUAAGUGGCCGUGUAACCGCUCAAUCACGUCUCAGUAUCUGAUUAACACCAAAGUAUUUCAAUAUGACAUUUUAUAAAACAACAAAUUUCAUAUUUGAUAAUAAUUCA